AGAAAACCCAAAUAUAUUUCUGGCCAUGAUUUUAUACUCCAUACAUUUGCCAGGCCAGCUAGUUGCCAAGAAGCAAGAAUGGUAUGGAAGAUGUUAAAUAAAGAAGCAAUAUUUAAUGUCCAGGUGGUUCGGAUUCACAUCUGGUGUGCUAAAAAGCUAAUAAAAAAUGGAUUUGACAUUUCAAUUAUUUUAAAACAUUUCUUUUUGAAGGUUGAGGUUGAAGCGACAACAAUAUAUAACCAAGUGAUUAAGAUAGAAAUUUGAGAUAUGAGAUGAUAUUGUCCCUGUUAGUUAGGAAUUAAUUAGAUCAAUAAGUAUCAUCAAUUUCCCCAAAGCGGUCAUGGAUCAUCUCCCACCAGAGAGGCACAGAGCUAUUCACCAUUCAGAAAGUAGAAGCAACAGUUCACUUUACAGAAUAGUACUAGCAGGAUUGGUUGAUGCAUCAACUUCAAGACCUGGCUUAUAUGGAUUAAAC
rnacentral:misc_RNA from 1 species